AUGCUUCUAUCUAUCCCUCUCCCUUCCUCUCUGAAAUCAAUAAAAAAAAAAUUUAAAAAGCAAAACAGAAAAGAUCUGAAAAUCCAUGAAUGAUGGGACGAAGAUGCUUAGAUGGGGUCUUGAGCAGAAGCAGAGACCUAGGCUCUAGGUUACCACCUCGUCUCCAGAAGAACAAAGACACGGGCAGGAGGGGAUCUGAGGAAGUCGCUAGGGCUGAGUGGAAAGGACACAAGAUUUGGGACAGUGAACCUUAGAAGUACUUUACACAGGCUGGUAACUUGGGGCAUGUUUGUGCUUCAGUCCCCUCAUCUUUAGAAUUGGUUACUAACACCGCUACCUUCCUUACAAGGUUGGGACAAUAUGUGUGAAAACACUAACUGAGCACUACAUGUUAGUGAAGGGUUUAGGAGGGCUCUUUCCAGAGUGGGUGGCCACAGAAUUGCAAGAGUUCACAGAUUGAAGCCUCCCACACUUUUGGUAGGAAAUAGUCAAGUGUCAUCUCCCACCACAACAUUGUCUUUCCACUCCACCAACAUUUGACUAGCAAGGGUUUGUUUUUUAAGAAGAAAAAGCAGUGUGGUCAGAGCAUAAGUUUUGGAAUUACAUGGCCUAGAUUUGAAUCUUGUGUUCAUUUUUCCAUAAUUGAGAUAGUCUGAUUACUUACCAUCUCUGAGCUUUGAUUUCUCAGCAGGUCUCAUGUGACUUGGGAAUGAAUGAUACACCUUAAGUGAAAUAACCCAGUCCCUAGAGCCGACCUAGGAAGUGUCCAGUAGAGUUAGCUCCAUUUCUUUUAUUUCUCCUUGGGAUGCAUCCAAUUGACCCAGCAUAAAAGGGGCUUCAUUGCCCAUGCUUUGGUGUAAACAAGUAAUAUCAAUUUUUUCUU